rnacentral:rRNA from 1 species
CAGCAGCCACGGUAACACGGAGGGGGCUAGCGUUGUUCGGAAUUACUGGGCGUAAAGCGCACGUAGGCGGCUUGGUAAGUUAGAGGUGAAAGCCCGGAGCUCAACUCCGGAAUUGCCUUUAAGACUGCCGAGCUAGUAGGUGAGAGAGGUAAGUGGAAUUCCGAGUGUAGAGGUGAAAUUCGUAGAUAUUCGGAAGAACACCAGUGGCGAAGGCGGCUUACUGGCUCAUUCUAGACGCUGAGGUGCGAAAGCGUGGGGAGCAAACAGGAUUAGAUACCCGUGUAGUCCCUGUCUCUUAUAC